GUGCUCGCUUUGGCAGCACAUAUAAACUAAAAUUGGAAUGAUACAGAGAAGAUUAGCAUGGCUCCUGCGCAAGGAUGAUACACAAAUUCAUGAAGCGUUCCAUAUUUUA